AUGGCCGCCGCGUCCUCCGCUCCCUUCUUCGGCCUCUCCGACGCGCAGAUGCAGCCGCUGAUGCCCGCGCAGCAGCCUCCCGCUCCGGCCGCCGCGCCGGCGCCCAAGAAGAAGCGCAACCAGCCGGGCAACCCAAAUCCUGAUGCUGAGGUGAUCGCGCUGUCGCCGCGGUCCCUGAUGGCCACGAACCGGUUCGUGUGCGAGGUGUGCGGCAAGGGGUUCCAGCGGGAGCAGAACCUGCAGCUGCACCGUCGCGGCCACAACCUGCCGUGGAAGCUGAAGCAGAAGAACCCCAAGGAGACGCGGCGGCGGGUGUACCUGUGCCCGGAGCCGACGUGCGUGCACCACGACCCGGCGCGCGCGCUGGGCGACCUCACCGGCAUCAAGAAGCACUACUGCCGCAAGCACGGCGAGAAGAAGUGGAAGUGCGACAAGUGCGCCAAGCGCUACGCGGUGCAGUCGGACUGGAAGGCCCACUCCAAGACCUGCGGCACCCGCGAGUACCGCUGCGACUGCGGCACCCUCUUCUCCAGGAGGGACAGCUUCAUCACCCACCGCGCCUUCUGCGACGCGCUGGCCCAGGAGAGCGCGCGGCUGCCGCCGAUAGGCGCCGGCAUGUACGGCGGCCCUGGCAACAUGGCCCUCGGCAAUCUCUCCGGCAUGGCGCCCCAGAUGCCCAGCGGCUUCCCAGACCAAUCCGGCCACCACUCAUCAGCUUCGGCCAUCGACGUCCUCAACCUUGGUGGCGGAAGCGGCAACGCCGGUCAGUUCGAGCACCUCAUGCCAUCCUCCUCGGGGUCCUCCAUGUUCCGCUCCCAGGCCGCCAACUCCUCCCCGUUCUAUAUGGGCGGCGGCGCAGCGCAGGACUUUGCCGAGGAUGACGUCCACUGUUCCCAUGGCAACCAGGGCUCUGUCCUCCAGGGAAAGUCUCCCGCGGCCUUCCAUGGCCUCAUGCAACUUCCGGACCAGCACCAGGGAAGCGGCGGCGGCAACGGCAAUAACAACCUCCUGAACCUUGGCUUCUUCUCAGGCAAUGGCAACGGGAGCGGCCAGGACUCGCGCCUGGUCUUCCAGAACCAGUACAACGGCAGCGCCGGAAAUGGCAACAGCAGCAAUGGAAAUGGAGAGAAUGGCAGCAUGGUCGCGUCCGGCAGCGUCCUAGGAGGUGGUGGCGGGGGCUUCCCUUCGCUCUACAGCUCGUCUGAGGCGGGCGGCGGGCUCCCGCAGAUGUCCGCGACUGCGCUGCUGCAGAAGGCCGCGCAGAUGGGCGCGACGACUAGCAGCCACAACGCUGGCGCUGGUGGCGCCGGGCUGCUCCGUGGCCAGGGUAUGAGGGGCGGCGGCGGUGAAGGCGGGUCGUCGGCCGCUGCAGCGGCGGCGAGCGAGAGGCAAUCUUUCCAUGACCUCAUCAUGAACUCUCUGGGUAGCGGGAGCGGCGCCAGUGCUACGACCGGCGGUCGCGCCGGGGCGUUCGGCAGCGGCGGGGGCUUCCCCGUGGACGACGGCAAGCUGAGCACUCGGGACUUCCUCGGCGUCGGCCCUGGCGGCGUGGUCCAAGCCGGCAUGGGGCCGCCCCGGCGGCACACCGGUGGCGCCGGGCUCCACAUGGGCUCGCUGGACCCUGCCGAGCUGAAGUAG
rnacentral:rRNA from 1 species